UCUUGGUCAAUUUAGAGGAAGUAAAAGUCGUAACAAGGUCUCCGUUGGUGAACCAGCGGAGGGAUCAUUACUGAGUUUACGCUCUACAACCCUUUGUGAACAUACCUACAACUGUUGCUUCGGCGGGUAGGGUCCCCGUGACCCUCCCGGCCUCCCGCCCCCCCCGGGCGGGUCGGCGCCCGCCGGAGGAUAACCAAACUCUGAUUUAACGACGUUUCUUCUGAGUGGUACAAGCAAAUAAUCAAAACUUUUAACAACGGAUCUCUUGGUUCUGGCAUCGAUGAAGAACGCAGCGAAAUGCGAUAAGUAAUGUGAAUUGCAGAAUUCAGUGAAUCAUCGAAUCUUUGAACGCACAUUGCGCCCGCCAGCAUUCUGGCGGGCAUGCCUGUUCGAGCGUCAUUUCAACCCUCAAGCUCUGCUUGGUGUUGGGGCCCUACAGCUGAUGUAGGCCCUCAAAGGUAGUGGCGGACCCUCCCGGAGCCUCCUUUGCGUAGUAACUUUACGUCUCGCACUGGGAUCCGGAGGGACUCUUGCCGUAAAACCCCCCAAUUUUCCAAAGGUUGACCUCGGAUCAGGUAGGAAUACCCGCUGAACUUAAGCAUAUCAAUAAGGCGGA
rnacentral:rRNA from 1 species